GAAGAGUACAAAUAGUUAAUUACAAAAAAAAACUAUUUGAUUUAAACUCACAUGUUGAAAAAAAUAGGAUACCAGUGAAUAUCAAAGUUGAUUU